CAAGCUUGCUGUUAAUACAAGUAUUAACAGUGGCAAGGAUUGUGUUUGCAAAAAAUUGGAAAAAUGAGAAAAUACCAACGCAGGAUGAAGUUAUUAAGAAAAUAAUGGAAUGUGUUGAUAUGAGCAAAUUGACAUUUGAAAUUAGAGAACAAGAAGACAAACAAUACUAUAAAGAUAUGGGACCUGUUUUAUCAAUGGUUAGAUAAAAAAAAUAUGGAAUUGAAAUAUGCAGAAUGAAGAGAAGCAACCUGGAAUUUAGGAGAAAUUUCCUAACAGUGUGGACAACCAGUGGAACAAGUCACCUUGCCUCCAGAAAGUUGUGAAUUUCAGCCACUUGUUUGAAAUGGUCUCUUGCCUGAGAAAGGAGUUAUACAUAUAAAUAUACUGUACAUAUAAAAACAUCUAACAAACUUUUAACAAUAUUGACAGUUUCUGUAAAUAUGAAAGCAUCUAUUGAACUUUUUAGCAAUAUUGACAAUUUCUGUAAAUAUAAAAACAUCUAUCGAACUUUUUAGCAAUAUUGACAGUUUCUGUAAAUAUAAAAACAUCUAACAAACUUUUAACAAUAUUGACAGUUUCUGUAAAUAUGAAAGCAUCUAUCGAACUUUUUAGCAAUAUUGACAAUUUCUGUAAAUAUAAAAACAUCUAUCAAACUUUUUAGCAAUAUUGACAGUUUCUGUAAAUAUAAAAACAUCUAUCAAACUUUUAACAAUAUUGACAGUUUCUGUAAAUAUAAAAACAUCUAUCAAACUUUUUAGCAAUAUUGACAGUUUCUGUAAAUAUAAAAACAUCUAUCAAACUUUUUAACAAUAUUGACAGUUUCUGUAAAUAUAAAAACAUCUAUUGAACUUUUUAACAAUAUUGACAGUUUCUGUAAAUAUAAACUUUUGAAUUUUUAACAAUAUUGACAAUUUCUGUAAAUAUAAAAACAUCUAUUGAACUUUUAACAAUAUUGACAAUUUCCACAAAGGUGGUCUCUGUAAUAUUUCUGUACCAGAUCAUAACUUGGAGCCAUACCCGGGGAAUAUGAAUAUGUUGCUAUGGAGGCAUAAGUGCUAGUGUGUUACACCCAGACCAAAAGUGUAUUUACAUUAAGGAACAUGGCAGUGUGCUUUUGGAUAAGUUUCUGGAAAAGAAGUUAAAAUUUCUGGACUUGGUUAAUAUGCUGUAAGCCUCCCGGAAUUGUGUUGAAACGAGAUGGGUGGCAAAUAAAUUCUAAUAAAUAAAACAAACAGCCA